UACGUAGGGUGCAAGCGUUAAUCGGAAUUACUGGGCGUAAAGCGUGCGCAGGCGGUUUUGUAAGUCUGUCGUGAAAUCCCCGGGCUCAACCUGGGAAUUGCGAUGGAGACUGCAAGGCUAGAAUCUGGCAGAGGGGGGUAGAAUUCCACGUGUAGCAGUGAAAUGCGUAGAUAUGUGGAGGAACACCGAUGGCGAAGGCAGCCCCCUGGGAUAACACUGACGCUCAUGCACGAAAGCGUGGGGAGCAAACAGG
rnacentral:rRNA from 1 species